CAGUCGACGCGUUGGCCCAACUGAUUGACGGUGCUUGCACUUGAUUGACGUUGGAUUACCAACGAGUGGCGGACGGGUGAGUAACACGUAGGCAACCUGCCCAGAAGCGGGGGACAACAUUUGGAAACAAGUGCUAAUACCGCAUAAAUCCUCAAACCGCAUGGUUUGAGGCUGAAAGAUGGUUUCGGCUAUCACUUCUGGAUGGGCCUGCGGCGCAUUAGCUUGUUGGUGGGGUAACGGCCUACCAAGGCUAUGAUGCGUAGCCGAGUUGAAAGACUGAUCGGCCACAAUGGAACUGAGACACGGUCCAUACUCCUACAGGAGGCAGCAGUAAGGAAUCUUCCACAAUGGGGCGCAAGCUUGAUGGAGCAACACCGCGUGAGUGAAGAAGGGUUUCGGCUCGUAAAGCUCUGUUGUUGAAGAAGAACGUGCGUGAGAGUAACUGUUCACGCAGUGACGGUAUUCAACCAGAAAGUCACGGCUAACUACGUGCCAGCAGCCGCGGUAAUACGUAAGUGGCAAGCGUUAUCCGGAUUUAUUGGACGUAAAGCGAGCGCAGGCGGUUUGCUAAGUCUGAUGUGAAAGCCUUCGGCUUAACCGGAGAAGUGCAUCGGAAACUGACUAACUUGAGUACACAAGAGGACAGUGGAACUCCAUGUGUAGCGGUGGAAUGCGUAGAUAUAUGGAAGAACACCAGUGGCGAAGGCGGCUGUCUGGUCUGCAACUGACG
rnacentral:rRNA from 1 species